rnacentral:lncRNA from 1 species
AUAUGCAACGACCUGAUCCGUCAGCAAUAAUAACUCGGAGGGUCCAAAUCACCGGUCCAAAAUACUUAAACCUAGUUAUUAUUAGCAGUGUAUAAUUCUCAUAUAUUCUAAUCAGAAUCAAUUUUUCAUUUGAUAUGGGUUUGUUGGGGCAUUAUAAACUCCCCCUAUUUAGACUGUGACGUCCUCGUCGGGUCAAAACCAGAUUACAAGUGUAGAUUGGAAUUAUCAGGCGAUAUGAGAUUCUAAAUGUGACUCUUACGAGUUCAAGAAGUGGUUCACACCAAAUCCGUUGGUAUAGCACUUUGCCCUGCAUAACACUUAACUCUCACACUUCUGGCUGGUAUUCGUCUCUUGAUACCAAUUGCAAUGACACGACCCGCCAACAAAAGUAACUCGUUGGGUUCACAUCAUCGGCCCAAAAUGUUUAAGCCCAGUUAUUAUUACUAGCAUGUAGACCUCAUAUAUUCUAAUCAGAAUCAAUUUUUCACUCGAUGUGAGACUAUUGGGGCGUUACAGAAUAUCCUCAAACUUUAUCCAAGCGAUGUGAGAACUGGGCGGAACUAGCUAUUCCGAUCAAAACGGGCUAUUUCGGAACAACAUGUUAAAAUUCUUUCUAGAAAAACUAAAAAUAAUUGUGCUCUUCUCUUUAUUUUAUUAGAUAAAUAGAUAUAUAAAUAAAUAUAUUAAUAUAAAUAUUAUCAUUAUAACAAUAUAUUUAUACUUAAAUCUUAUUAUAUAGUAUAAUUAAUUAAAUUUUAUAUAUUAUUUUUUAUUUUAUUAUUUAUAUAUUAAUAUUUAAUUAUUUUAUUUUUAUUAAGUAUUAUAUAUGUUUAUUUAUUUUUC